UCUUCCUUGUUAAAACACGUGUUUUCUGAAAUGUCUUAAUUUCUGCUGCAAAUACGAAGAACCCAAUGUUUGUUUUCGGUGUGGAUAAACUUCACAGCUAUUACUACUUUUACUAGAAGUUACAAACGAAAUUGUCUCCCAAACUUAGACAGAACAAGCAAAUACGUAUAAGGAGUUGUUGAACAGCGACAGAGGAACUUUUUAUCUGGAUUCGAACCUUGGGGAAUAGGAAGAAAAUUUGGCUCACUCCAACCAGGGAAAAAAACAAUGAAUUUUCUUUCUUUUUCUAGCUUGUUUUUCGAAAAUUGCACAUUGUUGCCGAGACACAAAAUAAACACAUACAUAUAA